rnacentral:rRNA from 1 species
UGGGUAACCUGCCUACAAAGAGGGGAAUAGCCUCCCGAAAGGGAGAUUAAUAACCGCAUAAUAUGUUUAGGUCGCAUGACUUUAACAUCAAAGGAUUUUCUUUUAAGAAAUUCCACUUUGAGAUGGACCCGCGGCGCAUUAGCUAGUUGGUGAGGUAACGGCUCACCAAGGCAACGAUGCGUAGCCGACCUGAGAGGGUGAUCGGCCACAUUGGAACUGAGACACGGUCCAGCUCCGUAGGAGG